GCGCACCCUAACUACUAUCACUGGGAGCCUUCUAUGAAUGCUUAUGCAUCACAUUUGGGUAUCCAUUCAGCUCAAUUCGAGGUCCCUCCUACUUCGAUCCCUUCAUCUCAGCUAGUGUUGUGCGGCGCUCCCGGAGCCAAUUCAUCUAUGUUUCUUCCAUAUGUGCAGGCCGGUCCAGCUGAUCAAUUCGAUGCAAGACAGUUUGGUCAUGCUCAGUUGGCGAGCUCAGCCUUGCAGUAUCGUCUCUCUGGUGGCGCAGCCAUGAGAUCGUUUCAGUACUCCAACUUGGCUUAUAAGCAUCAGAGUGCUGAAGACCAACAUGAAAAUUAGG
rnacentral:misc_RNA from 1 species